AACGAACGCUGGCGGCAUGCCUAACACAUGCAAGUCGAACGAGACCUUCGGGUCUAGUGGCGCACGGGUGCGUAACGCGUGGGAACCUGCCCUUAGGUUCGGAAUAACUCCCCGAAAGGGGUGCUAAUACCGGAUAAUGUCUUCGGACCAAAGAUUUAUCGCCUUUGGAUGGGCCCGCGUUGGAUUAGCUAGUUGGUAGGGUAAAAGCCUACCAAGGCGACGAUACAUAGCUGGUCUGAGAGGAUGAUCAGCCACACUGGGACUGAGACACGGCCCAGACUACUACGGGAGGAAGCAGUGGGGAAUAUUGGACAAUGGGCGAAAGCCUGAUCCAGCAAUGCCGCGUGAGUGAUGAAGGCCUUAGGGUUGUAAAGCUCUUUUACCCGGGAUGAUAAUGACAGUACCGGGAGAAUAAGCUCCGGCUAACUCCGUG
rnacentral:rRNA from 1 species